GUGUAACCCGCCCGCCUAGGGAUUACGGGCGCAAGCCUGAAACUCAAAGGAAUUGGCGGGGGCCCGCACAACCGGUGGACCGUCUGGUUCAAUUCGAUGCUAACCGAAAAACCUUACCCGGGCUUGACAUGGUGGGAAACCCUUGCGAAAGCGAGGGGUGCCGUCCUCUGGACGGAAUCCCACCACAGGUGGUGCAUGGCCGUCGUCAGCUCGUGUCGUGAGAUGUUGGGUUAAGUCCCGCAACGAGCGCAACCCCUGCCCCUAGUUGCUACCCCGAAUGGGGAGCACUCUAGGGGGACUGCCGGCGAUAAGCCGGAGGAAGGUGGGGAUGACGUCAGGUCAGUAUGCCCUUUAUGCCCGGGGCUACACAGGCGCUACAGUGGCCAGGACAAUGGGAUGCGACCCAGUAAUGGGGAGCAAAUCCCCCAAACCUGGUCAUGGUGCGGAUUGAGGGCUGAAACUCGCCCUCAUGAAGCCGGAGUCGGUAGUAAUGGCGGAUCAGCUAAGCCGCCGUGAAUACGUUCUCGGGCCUUGCACACACCGCCCGUCACGCCACGGAAGUCAGUCUUCCCGGAAGGCCCCAAGCUAACCCGCAAGGGAGGCAGGGGACGAUGGGAAGGCUGGCAACUGGGGCGAAGUCGUAACAAGGUAA
rnacentral:rRNA from 1 species